GACCUGUGCACUAUAUAGAAUCAUCAGUCUAGUAUCUGGCAUGUUUUAGGGAGGUAUGUGGACAACCAUGUGUACAUUGAGACACACACACACACACACACACACACACACACACACACACACACACACACACACACACACACACACACACACACACAUAUACUGUAUACACACAUAUUAGAAUUUAUGACACACACAAGGAUUUUAGUUCCAGCUGUUGGUGACCUAUGUGUGGUUUUACAGCACAAUCUCUUGAUCGCUGUUUUCUCCUCCCUUUCUCAAAAUGUUACAGCAUCGUUUCAGUAUUUCUCCUUUUGUGAAUUCAAAUAUAAAGUCAGCUUUGUAUUUUCUUGGACCAGGGAUGCCUGAGUUCUCCACAUACUUAUAACGUUUAAGAGGUCCUGUGAAGUGCAAUCAUAUUUCUGCUUUGUGCUCAGAUUGGUUUGUCUUUGUGUUCCACAUCAUGUACUGCUUAAAGAACUGGUAUUCUGACAGUAUGACCCUGAACACCAAACCCAUCCGCCUGUCCAUCUUCCUCAUCGCCGGUGUGUGUGCAGGUUUUCCAGCUCUUAUUUGGGCUCUCAGUGUACUGUACCGCCAUUAUAAGAGCGGAGGUCAAACCUCAGUCUUCGCCGUCUUCCUCCUCCUCAGUGACCUGCUGGAGCUGAUCCUGACUCCAUUCCUUGUAACAUACAUAUUCAAAGAGGACUUUAAUCCAUGUGAAAUUUUUGGACUAUUGUUUGGUGCCAGGCUGCUUGGGCAACUGCUUCACCAGACAGUGGCGUUAGAGAGCAUUUGCCAAAGAUAUAGAUUACUUGCUGAUGUUUUCUCUCCUCCCUGCUCUAUCGUUUUCUGCAUCAUUUUUCUUCUAGCAGUUGGAUGUCAUUUCAUACAUGACAUCACAUAUGUGAUAACUACAAUUGUAUGCAUAUUGCCUGUGAUUGUGUGUGCAGUCACAUACAUAUUAACUUGGAAAGUACCCCAUGACAGCGACCAGGCCACAGACAGGAAGCCUGGUGUGCUGGUUGUAACUGUUGCCAUGUUUACAUUGAUGCUUAUAUACUUACCAUUUUUCUUGACUGUUUUUACUGACUUUCCUUUUAUGUUGGACUGUUUAACAAGUGUGAGAUUAAUCUUUGAUCCCCUCCUGUGUGUACUUGUCUGCAAGGAGCUCGGUUUCAGUUCACACAAAGAUCGUAGGCAUGGAUCACGUGCAUUGAAUUAGAAACUUUCAAUUAGCAGAAGAAACAGUAGGUUGUGAUGUUAUUGCAGUGUGUAUAUCAUUAUUAAAUGUGUAUAUCAUGAUUAACAUCUAAAUAAAGUAUUAUUCAAGUAGUCAUUUCAGUGAAUAAUUAUUACAGGUUUUCUCAGUCAUUUUGGAACUUUUUCAGAUCAGAAAUGAAAUUCUCAAAACUACUUGUUCAACCUCCACAUCAUUUAGUCAUUUGUGCUCAUCAUAUGAACAUUUCUCAUUGCACUGAUCAAAUUGCGAAUGCUUUUAUACAUCUUUUAAUGGAUUGUGUACAAGUAUACAAAAUUUGUCAAGCUCUUCUUCACAGUUCUAUUAAACUUUUCUUGUAAAUGUGUCUUGAAUUGAUGAAUUGUGCAGAUGAACCUUGAAUGUCACUAAUGAAGGGGAGUGUCCUAGUAUGUACAGGUAAAACAUCUAUGGGCAUACUUUAUCUAAUUUACAUAAACUUCUUAUAGUGACAUAUAUAAUACAGAAUGUGUGACCUGUACAUUUGCUAUUGGUGUAGGAAAAAAACAUGCAAUAUGUGUACAUUUGAUAUAACUGUAUCUUGUGAAAUGAAAUAAAUGUGCAUAACUAA